rnacentral:rRNA from 1 species
GGCUGUCGUCAGCUCGUGUCGUGUAGGAUCGUUGGGUUAAGUCCCGUAACGAGCGCAACCCUUGUCCUUAGUUACCAGCACGUUAUGGUGGGCGACUCUAAGGAGGACUGCCGGUGACAAACCGGAGGAAGGUGGGGAUGACGUCAAGUCAUCAUGGCCCUUACGGCCUGGGCUACACACGUGCUACAAUGGUCGGUACAAAGGGUUGCCAAGCCGCGAGGUGGAGCUAAUCCCAUAAAACCGAUCGUAGUCCGGAUCGCAGUCUGCAACUCGACUGCGUGAAGUCGGAAUCGCUAGUAAUCGUGAAUCAGAAUGUCACGGUGAAUACGUUCCCGGGCCUU